UAUAGGCAAUGAAAUUCUUGUUCAUGCUCAGAAGUUGCAGUAUCUGGCUUUUGCAAGUUGGUUAGGUAUAGAUGGCUUCAUUUUUCUAAUUUGAGCAUUUUCCUUAUUCCUUUUAUGUGUCGACUUCUGAGUUUGAUCACCAUAUACUGGCAAUACUGCUGUCUUAGCUAGUUGCUUUCUUUAAGAAACACCCCCUCCCUGCCUCUGGGCUGCCAAAUGAAUGAAAUAAUAAAAUAAAGCGAAAAUCAAUACUCAUCACCUGUUCAUUUUUCAUAGAUGAGUUUUUGAUAUAUGAAUGAAUACUCAUGAUCAAAUUACUGUUUUUUUACUUUAUUGACUGCCUAAAUAUCAAUGAAGUGCUAAUCGUCCAGCAUGAUUUAUUAUAUGUUUUAGUUGAGUUUAAAUAUAGAGGAUAGUUUCAUGACAACUAAAGUGACUUAAUCUGCUUAUUCCUACACCACCUCCACCAUCACGACCACCACCAGAAAGAAGUCUUGCAAGGUUAAUAUUUGAAAUUGGAUGAUACAAGAGUAAAUUUUUUUCCUCCUUUUUUCAUUUAUAUAGUCUUUCUGAUAUAACUUUGGUAAGAAGACUUCAAUUGAUCUGCAUUUCUUUUAUAUAUAACUUGCCUGUUUCACUGAUAUUUUUUUCCCCUUUACCCCACUUGCCAUUGCAGGCAUAGUUCUUUGCCUUGUAUUUAAUGUUAUUGCUGUGAUAAUUUGUUGGAUUAGAGGUGGAGGUGUAAAAAUAUUUUUCCUGGCAACAAUCUAUGCUCUACUUGGAUGCCCUCUUUCAUAUGUCCUAUGGUAUAGGCCACUUUACCAUGCAAUGAGGUCAGAAUUUUUUGGAGAGAUGCAAAAUAUGGUCCAAGAAUUAAAGAACUUGUUUUUUAA